rnacentral:rRNA from 1 species
CUACGGGAUGCUGCAGUGGGGAAUAUUGCACAAUGGGGGAAACCCUGAUGCAGCAACGCCGCGUGGAGGAUGACACAUUUCGGUGCGUAAACUCCUUUUAUAUAAGAAGAUAAUGACGGUAUUAUAUGAAUAAGCACCGGCUAACUCCGUGCCAGCAGCCGCGGUAAUACGGAGGGUGCAAGCGUUAUUCGGAAUCACUGGGCGUAAAGGGUGCGUAGGCGGUUUGGAAAGUCAGGUGUGAAAGCCCGGGGCGCAACUCCGGAACUGCACUUGAAACUUCCAGACUAGAAUACUGAAGGGGCGGAUGGAAUUAGUGGUGUAGGGGUAAAAUCCGUAGAUAUCACUAGGAAUACCGAAAGCGAAAGCGAUCUGCUGGGAAGUUAUUGACGCUGAGGCACGAAAGCGUGGGGAGCAAACAGGAUUAGAUACCCCUGUAGUC